rnacentral:lncRNA from 1 species
UGCAUGUGUUCACCCCUCCCCAAAUCCAUGUGUUGAAAUCCGAAUCCCCAACAUGAUGGUGAGGAGGUGGAGGCUCUGGGAAGUGAUUAGGUCAUGAUGGUGAGGAGGUGGAGGAUCUGGAAGUGAUCAGGUCCUGAUGGUGAGGAGGUGGAGGAUCUGGAAGUGAUUAGGUGGUGAUGGUGAGGAGGUGGAGGAUCUGGAAGUGAUUAGGUCGUGAUGGUGAGGAGGUGGAGGAUCUGGGAAGUGAUUAGGUCGUGAUGGUGAGGAGGUGGAGGAUCUGGAAGUGAUUAGGUCGUGAUGGCGAGGAGGUGGAGGAUCUGGGAAGUGAUUAGGUCGUGAUGGUGAGGAGGUGGAGGAUCUGGGAAGUGAUUAGGUCGUGAUGGUGAGGAGGUGGAGGCUCUGGGAAGUGAUUAGGUAGUGAUGGUGAGGAGAUGGAGGAUCUGGAAGUGAUUAGCUCAUGAUGGUGAGGAAGUAGAGGAUCUGGAAGUGAUUAGGUCGUGAUGGUGAGGAGGUGGAGGAUCUGGAAGUGAUUAGGUCGUGAUGGUGAGGAGGUGGAGGCUCUGGGAAGUGAUUAGGUCGUGACGGUGAGGAGGUGGAGGAUCUGGAAGUGAUUAGGUCGUGAUGGUGAGGAGGUGGAGGCUCUGGGAAGUGAUUAGGUCGUGAUGGUGAGGAGGUGGAGGAUCUGGAAGUGAUUAGGUGGUGAUGGUGAGGAGGUGGAGGAUCUGGAAGUGAUUAGGUCGUGAUGGUGAGGAGGUUGAGGAUCUGGAAGUGAUUAGGUCGUGAUGGUGAGGAGGUGGAGGAUCUGGAAGUGAUUAGGUCGUGAUGGUGAGGAGGUGGAGGAUCUGGAAGUGAUUAGGUCGUGAUGGUGAGGAGGUGGAGGAUCUGGAAGUGAUUAGGUCGUGAUGGUGAGGAGGUGGAGGAUCUGGAAGUGAUUAUGUCAUGAUGGUGAGGAGGUGGAGGCUCUGGACGUGAUUAGGUCGUGAUGGUGAGGAGGUGGAGGAUCUGGAAGUGAUUAGGUCGUGAUGGUGAGGAGGUGGAGGAUCUGGAAUUGAUUAGGUCGUUUUGGUGACAAGGUGGAGGAUCUGGAAGUGAUUAGGUCGUGAUGGUGAGGAGGUGGAGGAUCUGGAAGUGAUUAGGUCGUGACGGUGAGGAGGUGGAGGAUCUGGAAGUGAUUAGGUCGUCAGGG